rnacentral:rRNA from 1 species
UACGAAGGGGGCUAGCGUUGCUCGGAAUCACUGGGCGUAAAGCGCACGUAGGCGGAUUGUUAAGUCAGGGGUGAAAUCCUGGAGCUCAACUCCAGAACUGCCUUUGAUACUGGCGAUCUCGAGGCCGGGAGAGGUGAGUGGAACUGCGAGUGUAGAGGUGAAAUUCGUAGAUAUUCGCAAGAACACCAGUGGCGAAGGGCGGCUCACUGGCCGGUACUGACGCUGAGGUGCGAAAGCGUGGGGAGCAAACAGG